AGGACAGGGUGAUAAGAUACCAAAGGUGGGGGAUUUUCACUAAACUGAUCCAGCAGAAUUCUUGUUAAAAUUGGACUAAACAGGCCACAGACAGAGCCCAAGGCCCCAGGUCUGGUCAGAAAGAGGACUGACUCGGAACUGCUGGGCUUAAGUUUGAUCAAAGAGAGAGUCUUUGUCAGAAUCUGACGAGCACCUCUUCUGAGCAGGUACCUCUCACCAGACUGUGUCCUUGGCCUCAGGCAUGUCACCAUCUCAGCAGGGAUGGUCUUUUUAUUCCAACAACCACAGGAUCCCUUGUGUUUUGCCCAAGCAAAGAAGCUAGCGCCAAAAUUCAGGAUGAAUCAUCGUUCCUCUCUUGCAAAGUGACUGUUAGCUCCCAAAUAUACGGAGGCUUUCCCAGCGUCUUUUAGAUGCUGUGCGUGAAUUCUGGUCCAAAAGAAGCAUUUCCUAGUGGGAGUGGGGAGACAUGUCAGGCAGGAAAGGAUCCGAGCAAGGAGGGUUACUGGAAUUAGUUUGCUCUGGUAGGAGCUUUUUCUUCCACUGCCCUUGUGUCUCCUUGGUGGAGGCAAGCAGGUCUCAACAGUAAUCAUAGACCACAAUAUUAGAGGUGUCAGGGAUGGAGGCCCGCCUCCUCAUUUUAUAGAUGAGGAGCGCAGCAUCCAGAGAGGUAAACUGAUUUGCUUAAGAUCCUACAAGCUGCAAAUGUCAGAGUGCUAGGACUUCACUUAUGUCUUCUGCCUUCUGUCAUAACAGACUGCUUCUUCUUCCCUGAAUUGCUGCAACGUGGAACUGUGGGAGGCAAAGGAAACACUCCACAGGAACUCAUAAGGAAUUGAAACAUUAACACCGAUGCAUCACUUAAAAAUAAUAAUAAUGACUAACACUUAUUGUGAGCCCUUCCUGAGCUGUCUUAUUAACUUAGUUCAGGUUUUUUAAUGUGGACUACGAAGUUACAGUCGUGCACCAUGUAACGAUGUUCCAGUCAAUGACGGACCACAUAUACAACGGUGGUCCCAUAAGAUUAUAAAGGAACUGAAAAAUUUCUAUUCCUAGCGACGUCCUAGCCAUUGUAAUGUUGGAGCGCAAUGCAUUGCUGAUGUGCUUGUGGUGAUGCUGGUGUAAACAAAUCCACAGGUUCUUCAGGAGGUGCUCCGGAAGGAGGCAUCAUUAUCAUAGAAUAGGACAGCUCUACGCAAGUUAUUGCCUCUGAAGACCUUCCACUGGGACAACCUGCGGAGGUGGAAGAGAGUGAUAGUGAUGAUCCCAACCCUGUGUAGGCCUAGGCUAAUGUGUGUGUCUUAGUUUUUAACAAAAAAGUUUAAAAAGUAAAAAAAAAAAAAUUUUAAACUAGAGAAUCUUAUAGAACAAGGAUAUAAAGAAAGAGACUAUUUUUGUACAGCCGUACAAUGUAUUUGUGUUUUAAGCUGUGUUACUACAAAAGAAUCAGAAAGUUAAAAAAUUUAAAAAUUUAUAAAGUAAAAACGUUACAGUAAGCUGUGGUUAACUUAUUAUGAAGAAAAAGAUAUUUUAAAAAUAAAUUGAGCAUAGCCUAAGUGUACAGUGUUUAUGAAGUCUACAGGAGGGUCCAGUGAUGUCCGAGGCCUUCACGUCACUCACUGACUCACCCAGAGCAGCUUCCUGUCCUGCCAGUUCCAUCCAUGUAAGAGCCCUCUAUGGGUGUACCAUUUUUUAUCUUUGAUCCCAAAUUUUCACUGUACCUUUUCUAUGCUUAGAUGUGUUUAGAUACACAAAUACUUACCACUGUGUUUCAGUUGCCUGCAGUAUUCAGCACAGUAACAUGCUGUGCAGGUUUGCAGCCUGGAGCAGUGGGCUAUAGUAUGUAGCCUAGGCGUGUGGCAGGCUGCGCCAGCUAGGUUUGUUUACGCGCACUCUCUGAUGUUUGCCCAGCGAUGAAAUCGCCAACGGGUCUUCAGUGCUGUGGAAUAUUUUAUAGAGCAUUGGGUCACCUGGUCUUUGAAGGCACGGUAGAAUUUCUUGUGAAAGUACCUGGGUCUGGUGCUUUUGUGUGGGGUAGUUCCUUAAUAAAUUUCUCUAUUUCUUCUAUGGAAUUGGUCUGUUUAAACUUUCUAAUUCUAAUGGGGGGUCAUUUUUGGAAAUUUUUGUUUUCCUGGGAAAUUGUCUGUUUCACCUAGUUUUUCAAGUUUGUUUUCAUAGAAGUCCGUACAGUAGUUUCUUACAAUUAAAAACUUUCUUUUGUUCCAAUGGUUAUUUCCCCCUCAUCAUUUUAAAUUUUGUAUAUUUGUAUUUUCUCCUAUUUUUUUCUUGAUUGGGUUAGCCAAUGAUUUGUUUUAAUUGUUUUUUGAAACAGGAUUUUAUUUAUUAAUU
ensembl:lncRNA